rfam:Myotis lucifugus cont2.34355, whole genome shotgun sequence.
GGUGGUUCUCGGGUGAUGCACCUGGAAUCGGGCUCCCUCCUCUCUGGUUCUGGGUGUGUCACCUGAGAACUGCA